rnacentral:ncRNA from 1 species
AACAACGCAAUGAUGGGGACAAGUAAACAGGAGCGGGAUUUUGCAGAAAGCUGGCGGUCGAUGCAAGCCAGUGAAGACCGCCUUGGCGAAUGGACCCCGGAGUGCCAUGCUGAACCGGACGUUUACGUUCCGAAAUAGGCAGGCCGGACCUCGCUUCCCGUUAUCGGAGCGGUUAAGAUCGGUUGCAGCAGCUUUUCUCGACCGAUGAAUAAGGGUGGCACCACGGCUCACGUCCCUUGC